rnacentral:rRNA from 1 species
GACGUAGGGCGCGAGCGUUGUCCGGAUUUACUGGGCGUAAAGGGCGCGUAGGCGGCAAUUCAAGUCAUCUGUGAAAUCUCCGGGCUUAACUCGGAACGGUCAGAUGAUACUGCUUUGCUAGAGUGCGGAAGGGGCAAUCGGAAUUCUCGGUGUAGCGGUGAAAUGCGUAGAUAUCGAGAGGAACACCUGAGGUGAAGACGGGUUGCUGGGCCGACACUGACGCUGAGUGCGCGAAAGCCAGGGGAGCAAACGGG